AAUGGAUAUACUUCUAGAGUUUGCAGAGACGAAUCGGGACAUAGCCACAUAGCCUCAGGUCGCUUAACAAGCAUACCACUAGCCCAUCAGGCUACCCGGCAAGCUUGGGUUUCAGUAGCUAACAAACUCAAUUCAAUAGCGGGACGUUCCACAAAAACGCCUGACUACUGGCGUCGCUAUUGGAAAGAGUUCAAGGCGAAAACGAAAUCUAAAGCUGCAGACUGUAGAAG
rnacentral:misc_RNA from 1 species